UUGACUCUUCACAGCUGAAAGGUAAAUGGACACUGUAUUUCCAAAGAUGUUCUUUUGAUUCAGAACUCCAAGAGAUCUUGACAUCAAAAUCUUAUAGCAAAUGACUGUCACAUAUCAAAUGUGUACGUCAUGACAAGUCUACUUUCUUAUGGCUUUACAUUUUAUCUACAAGAAAACAAAUAUGAAAUGAAUGAGAAAAUUGGAGUAAUGAAAAUUUGGGAACCAUCUAGAAUAAUGUUACAACCUGGAGAGUGGUGAAGGGGAAAGUGCAAAGCAAGGACAAGACAGAAAAGAUCAGUGUGUAAAGAUUUGCUUAAUUGUUCCAAGGGACAACAAACAAGGAAGAAAAAAUUCCCAGAACAAUGUCACUGUAAAUAUACUGGACAUCUUCGAGAACUGUCAAAUUCCUUCUAGGAAACAAAUAAAAGCCUUGUUACUC